rnacentral:rRNA from 1 species
UACAGAGGUCCCAAGCGUUGUUCGGAUUCACUGGGCGUAAAGGGUGCGUAGGUGGCAUGGUAAGUUUGAUGUGAAAGCUCAGGGCUUAACCCUGAAAUGGCAUUGAAUACUACUGUGCUGGAGGUUUGGAGGGGGGACUGGAAUUCUUGGUGUAGCAGUGAAAUGCGUAGAUAUCAAGAGGAACACCGGUGGCGAAGGCGGCAUCCUGGACCGGCAUUGACGCUGAGGCGCGAAAGCCAGGGGAGCAAACGGG